GAUGAAGAACGCAGCGAAAUGCGAAAAGUAAUGUGAAUUGCAGAAUUCAGUGAAUCAUCGAAUCUUUGAACGCACAUUGCGCCCGCUGGUACUCCGGCGGGCACGCCUGUCCGAGCGUCAUUUCAACCCUCAAGCCCUCCUUCGGGAUGGGCCUGGUGUUGGGGCUCGGCCGCCAUCUCCGGCGGCCGUCCCCUAAAUACAGUGGCGGUCACGUCGCGACUCCUUUGCGUAGUAGAAACACCUCGCUCCGGAUAGCAACGCGGUCCUCGCCGUAAAAUCCCCAAUUUUCAAUGGUUGACCUCGGAUCAGGUGGGAAUACCCGCUGAACUUAAGCAUAUCAAUAAGCGGAGGA
rnacentral:misc_RNA from 1 species